CGAAUGCUGACAUAAGUAACGAUAAAGCGGGUGAAAAGCCCGCUCGCCGGAAGACCAAGGGUUCCUGUCCAACGUUAAUCGGGGCAGGGUGAGUCGACCCCUAAGGCGAGGCCGAAAGGCGUAGUCGAUGGGAAACAGGUUAAUAUUCCUGUACUUGGUGUUACUGCGAAGGGGGGACGGAGAAGGCUAUGUUGGCCGGGCGACGGUUGUCCCGGUUUAAGCGUGUAGGCUGGUUUUCCAGGCAAAUCCGGAAAAUCAAGGCUGAGGCGUGAUGACGAGGCACUACGGUGCUGAAGCAACAAAUGCCCUGCUUCCAGGAAAAGCCUCUAAGCAUCAGGUAACAUCAAAUCGUACCCCAAACCGACACAGGUGGUCAGGUAGAGAAUACCAAGGCGCUUGAGAGAACUCGGGUGAAGGAACUAGGCAAAAUGGUGCCGUAACUUCGGGAGAAGGCACGCUGAUAUGUAGGUGAAGUCCCUCGCGGAUGGAGCUGAAAUCAGUCGAAGAUACCAGCUGGCUGCAACUGUUUAUUAAAAACACAGCACUGUGCAAACACGAAAGUGGACGUAUACGGUGUGACGCCUGCCCGGUGCCGGAAGGUUAAUUGAUGGGGUCAGCGCAAGCGAAGCUCUUGAUCGAAGCCCCGGUAAACGGCGGCCGUAACUAUAACGGUCCUAAGGUAGCGAAAUUCCUUGUCGGGUAAGUUCCGACCUGCACGAAUGGCGUAAUGAUGGCCAGGCUGUCUCCACCCGAGACUCAGUGAAAUUGAACUCGCUGUGAAGAUGCAGUGUACCCGCGGCAAGACGGAAAGACCCCGUGAACCUUUACUAUAGCUUGACACUGAACAUUGAGCCUUGAUGUGUAGGAUAGGUGGGAGGCUUUGAAGUGUGGACGCCAGUCUGCAUGGAGCCGACCUUGAAAUACCACCCUUUAAUGUUUGAUGUUCUAACGUGGACCCGUGAUCCGGGUUGCGGACAGUGUCUGGUGGGUAGUUUGACUGGGGCGGUCUCCUCCUAAAGAGUAACGGAGGAGCACGAAGGUUGGCUAAUCCUGGUCGGACAUCAGGAGGUUAGUGCAAUGGCAUAAGCCAGCUUGACUGCGAGCGUGACGGCGCGAGCAGGUGCGAAAGCAGGUCAUAGUGAUCCGGUGGUUCUGAAUGGAAGGGCCAUCGCUCAACGGAUAAAAGGUACUCCGGGGAUAACAGGCUGAUACCGCCCAAGAGUUCAUAUCGACGGCGGUGUUUGGCACCUCGAUGUCGGCUCAUCACAUCCUGGGGCUGAAGUAGGUCCCAAGGGUAUGGCUGUUCGCCAUUUAAAGUGGUACGCGAGCUGGGUUUAGAACGUCGUGAGACAGUUCGGUCCCUAUCUGCCGUGGGCGCUGGAGAACUGAGGGGGGCUGCUCCUAG
rnacentral:rRNA from 1 species